UGACUCCACUGGAACUCUAACCUCAUGGUUUCCAGGCCUCUUGCUCCUGCUCCAACUUUUGACUCCUGAAAUCUAUCCCCGCACAGCAGCAUGAGUCUGCAGAACCUGCUGGUCCUUUUAGCACCCACACUGGGCACCACAUUCUCCAGGAAGUAUCCCCCGUCCUGUGUUCCUGCUUACAGCUCCAGCUGCUCCGACUGAGCUGCCCUUUGGACGACGCUAAGCUCCCGGGCAGCAGGGUUGGGCCUGCGCACCUCGGGGCUCGCCGAGCCCGACCAGGCAUCUGGCACAGCAACAGACAUCAGCGGCGUUCCACACGACCCCUGGCAGCGAAGCGCACAAAGGAGUGGCCGUGGUGAAUGAAUGAACCCGUCCGUGCCAGCGCCGCCUUAGUACCAGCACCUGACACAGCAGGUGCGAGUGAGCCCUUGUGGAGACGUGAAGACGUGAGCGCAUGCGCGGCCGCCCGGGAUCCGCCUCCUGCAUCCCUGCCGGGAGCUGGGUCCCGAUGUAGUGCGAGGAAUAGUUGUAGGUGACUCUAGGUUCGGAGUGAAGGCCCCUCUCCAGGAGUUGGGCCGGGCUGGGCUGGAGUCCCUCCCUCCCCUCCUCCCGCCCCGCCCCCACAUGCACACACCAAAACAUUAAAAAAAACAUCUCAAAAACUGCAAAAAACACCAUGGCCCUCCCCCUCCCCCUGAAUCCCACCAAAAAAAUAAAACACGUCGCUCGCCAGGGCCCCUCCCCUUCUUCCUCCUCUCCCCGGGGUCCCUGCUUCGGAGGGGGAAGGAAGGGACGGCCCCGCGCCCCGGGCCGGGGGCGCGCGAGGGGCGAAG
rnacentral:lncRNA from 1 species